GCCAGUGUGGUGUAGUGGUUUGAAUGUGGACUAUGACUCUAGAGACCAGGAUUCGAUUCUCAGCUUGGCC
rnacentral:tRNA from 1 species